rnacentral:rRNA from 1 species
UACGUAGGUGGCAAGCGUUGUCCGGAUUUAUUGGGUUUAAAGGGUGCGUAGGCGGUUUUCUAAGUCAGCAGUGAAAUACGGCAGCUCAACUGUCGAGGUGCUGUUGAUACUGGGGAACUUGAGUACUGAUGAGGUAGGCGGAAUGGACGGUGUAGCGGUGAAAUGCUUAGAGAUCGUCCAGAACACCGAUAGCGAAGGCAGCUUACUAAGGAGUAACUGACGCUGAGGCACGAAAGUGUGGGGGAUCAAACAGG